rnacentral:rRNA from 1 species
GAUGAACGCUGGCGGCGUGCCUAAUACAUGCAAGUCGAGCGAACGGACGAGAAGCUUGCUUCUCUGAUGUUAGCGGCGGACGGGUGAGUAACACGUGGAUAACCUACCUAUAGGACUGGGAUAACUUCGGGAAACCGGAGCUAAUACCGGAUAAUAUUUUGAACCGCAUGGUUCAAAAGUGAAAGACGGUCUUGCUGUCACUUAUAGAUGGAUCCGCGCUGCAUUAGCUAGUUGGUAAGGUAACGGCUUACCAAGGCAACGAUGCAUAGCCGACCUGAGAGGGUGAUCGGCCACACUGGAACUGAGACACGGUCCAGACUCCUACGGGAGGCAACAGUAGGGAAUCUUCCGCAAUGGGCGAAAGCCUGACGGAGCAACGCCGCGUGAGUGAUGAAGGUCUUCGGAUCGUAAAACUCUGUUAUUAGGGAAGAACAUAUGUGUAAGUAACUGUGCACAUCUUGACGGUACCUAAUCAGAAAGCCACGGCUAACUACGUG